UACGUAGGGUGCAAGCGUUGUCCGGAAUUAUUGGGCGUAAAGAGCUCGUAGGCGGUCUGUCGCGUCGGGAGUGAAAACCCAGGGCUUAACCCUGGGCUGGCUUCCGAUACGGGCAGACUAGAGGUAUGCAGGGGAGAACGGAAUUCCUGGUGUAGCGGUGAAAUGCGCAGAUAUCAGGAGGAACACCGGUGGCGAAGGCGGUUCUCUGGGCAUUACCUGACGCUGAGGAGCGAAAGUGUGGGGAGCGAACAGG
rnacentral:rRNA from 1 species